GACGAACGCUGGCGGCGUGCUUAACACAUGCAAGUCGAACGGAAAGGCCUGCUUUCCCUUGUGGAUUGCGGGUACUCGAGUGGCGAACGGGUGAGUAACACGUGAGUGAUCUGCCCCCAACUUGGGUAUAAGCCUGGGAAACUGGGUCUAAUUCCCGAUAGGACUGCAGGGUGGUGCCUGUGGUGGAAAACGAUUUUCUAGUGGUUGGGGAUGAGCUCGCGGCCUAUCAGCUUGUUGGUGGGGUAAUGGCCUACCAAGGCGGCGACGGGGAGCCGGCCUGAGAGGGUGGACGGCCUCAUUGGGACUGAGAUCCGGCCCAGGCUCCUACGGGCGGCAGCAGUGGGGAAUAUUGCACAAUGGGCGGAAGCCUGAUGCAGCGACGCCGCGUGGGGGAUGACGGCCUUCGGGUUGUAAACUCCUUUCGACCGCGAGGAAGCCACCUGGUUGGAAGGGUGGUGACGGUAGUGGUAGAAGAAGCACCGGCUAACUACGUG
rnacentral:rRNA from 1 species